UAGCUCAGUCGAUAGAGUAUGAGACUCUUAAUCUCAGCGUCGUGGGUUAGAGCCCCAC
rnacentral:tRNA from 1 species